UACGGAGGGGGCUAGCGUUGUUCGGAAUUACUGGGCGUAAAGCGCACGUAGGCGGCUUUGUAAGUUAGAGGUGAAAGCCCAGGGCUUAACUCUGGAAUUGCCUUUAAGACUGCAUCGCUAGAAUUGUGGAGAGGUAAGUGGAAUUGCGAGUGUAGAGGUGAAAUUCGUAGAUAUUCGCAGGAACACCAGUGGCGAAGGCGGCUUACUGGUCCAUAACUGACGCUGAGGUGCGAAAGCGUGGGGAGCAAACAGG
rnacentral:rRNA from 1 species